rnacentral:lncRNA from 1 species
GAAUUGGCCUCUACCUACAGAGAGCUGUGUCAGAAAAGUGUUGAACUGAACAAGCAGUCUUUAAAUCAAGAAAAAGACAUAACUCAACUUGAGAAUGAGAAGGUAGAAUUCUUGGAAACCAUCUCCAAAUUGAAAACAGAAGCUGUGGCUCUAAAGGUCAAGCUAGAUGAAGAUCAACAAGUUGAGAGCCAGAAGAUAGUCCAACUGGAGAAAGAAAAAGCAGAACAUGUGGAAACUAUCCUCA